UACGUAGGGGGCUAGCGUUGUCCGGAUUUAUUGGGCGUAAAGAGCGUGUAGGCGGCCAGGUAGGUCUGGUGUGAAAACUCGAGGCUUAACCUCGAGAUGUCAUCGGAAACCAUCUGGCUAGAGUCCGGAAGAGGAGAGUGGAAUUCCUGGUGUAGCGGUGAAAUGCGCAGAUAUCAGGAAGAACACCAAUGGCGAAAGCAGCUCUCUGGGACGGUACUGACGCUGAGGCACGAAGGCCAGGGGAGCAAACAGG
rnacentral:rRNA from 1 species